rnacentral:rRNA from 1 species
AUUGAACGCUGGCGGCAGGCCUAACACAUGCAAGUCGAGCGGAUGAAGGGAGCUUGCUCCUGGAUUCAGCGGCGGACGGGUGAGUAAUGCCUAGGAAUCUGCCUGGUAGUGGGGGAUAACGUCCGGAAACGGGCGCCAAUACCGCAUACGUCCUGAGGGAGAAAGUGGGGGAUCUUCGGACCUCACGCUAUCAGAUGAGCCUAGGUCGGAUUAGCUAGUUGGUGGGGUAAAGGCCUACCAAGGCGACGAUCCGUAACUGGUCUGAGAGGAUGAUCAGUCACACUGGAACUGAGACACGGUCCAGACUCCUACGGGAGGCAGCAGUGGGGAAUAUUGGACAAUGGGCGAAAGCCUGAUCCAGCCAUGCCGCGUGUGUGAAGAAGGUCUUCGGAUUGUAAAGCACUUUAAGUUGGGAGGAAGGGCAGUAAGUUAAUACCUUGCUGUUUUGACGUUACCAACAGAAUAAGCACCGGCUAACUUCGUGCCAGCAGCCGCGGUAAUACGAAGGGUGCAAGCGUUAAUCGGAAUUACUGGGCGUAAAGCGCGCGUAGGUGGUUCAGCAAGUUGGAUGUGAAAUCCCCGGGCUCAACCUGGGAACUGCAUCCAAAACUACUGAGCUAGAGUACGGUAGAGGGUGGUGGAAUUUCCUGUGUAGCGGUGAAAUGCGUAGAUAUAGGAAGGAACACCAGUGGCGAAGGCGACCACCUGGACUGAUACUGACACUGAGGUGCGAAAGCGUGGGGAGCAAACAGGAUUAGAUACCCUGGUAGUCCACGCCGUAAACGAUGUCGACUAGCCGUUGGGAUCCUUGAGAUCUUAGUGGCGCAGCUAACGCGAUAAGUCGACCGCCUGGGGAGUACGGCCGCAAGGUUA